rnacentral:rRNA from 1 species
CCUACGGGGGGCUGCAGUGGGGAAUAUUGGACAAUGGGGGCAACCCUGAUCCAGCCAUGCCGCGUGUGUGAAGAAGGCCCUCGGGUUGUAAAGCACUUUCAGUGAGGAAGAACGCCUGGUGGUUAAUACCCAUCAGGAAAGACAUCACUCACAGAAGAAGCACCGGCUAACUCCGUGCCAGCAGCCGCGGUAAUACGGAGGGUGCGAGCGUUAAUCGGAAUUACUGGGCGUAAAGCGCGCGUAGGUGGCUUGAUAAGCCGGUUGUGAAAGCCCCGGGCUCAACCUGGGAACGGCAUCCGGAACUGUCAAGCUAGAGUGCAGGAGAGGAAGGUAGAAUUCCCGGUGUAGCGGUGAGAUGCGUAGAGAUCGGGAGGAAUACCAGUGGCGAAGGCGGCCUUCUGGACUGACACUGACACUGAGGUGCGAAAGCGUGGGUAGCAAACAGGAUUAGAUACCCUAGUAGUC